rnacentral:lncRNA from 1 species
AUGUUACAAGUUGAACGUGGAGUGGUAGUCAUGGAGUGAUACUCUCAACUUAUUUUUAUAACAAGAAAGUUAGUAAGCAGAUCAAUUUUUUGAGUUCAUAGUGAGUGAUUUUAAGGGCCUGAACCAACAUUUGGUAUCAGAGCAAGGUGAGAUUAGAGGGCCGUUUUGAGAGUCGGUGGCGAGGAAGAGUGCAGCCCUUUUCGCUGCAGGGCAAAACGCAGCAGUAGGAAGCUGGCAUGAGAAAGAAAGAUGGCCUCAUAAGAAAGAAAGAGACCGUAGCUUUGGCAGUUUGGCUCAUAGCAGAUAUCGUGAAGAGGUUCUAUGUGAACCAUAGCUGUUGAGUAACAGUCGAACCAAACUCUGUGUGAGUUGGGUUCAUGUGAAGAAGAAAAUAAGAAGGCAAAACGGUUCUGUGUGAGCCGAAUAUAGUUCUGUGUGAACCUAGCAGUUUUGUUCUUGGUGAACAGAAGAGAAGGACUAAACCCGCGUGGUUCGUGUAGCAAGAAAUAGAAAGGACCGAAUCAAGAUUACGGGGGUGAAUGUUGGGGUAAUCUUGAUGUUGCGGGUUAUUACGGAUCAAGUACGGGUCGAGUUGGUUGAUCGUUUAGUUUAAAUGGGUCACCAAGAAUAAGGCGGGUGAUCGGAGCAUGAUUACGGGUUGGAGGUUUGAAUGGAUGAGGUCCAACUAAAGGUCAAGAGAUGUGUGGAUCUGAGUCAUGGUGACGUUACCGAGUCUUUUGGAAGCGCACGUGUGAUGCAUGUUACAAGUUGAACGUGGAGUGGUGGAGCAUAUUAUUAGGAUUAUUUGUUUAGUUAUUUAUUUUCCUAUUUAAGUACAAUAGAAGGUAGUCAUGGAGUGAUACUCUCAACUUAUUUUUAUAACAAGAAAGUUAGUAAGCAGAUCAAUUUUUU